AUUGAACGCUGGCGGCAUGCCUUACACAUGCAAGUCGAACGGCAGCACGGGAGCAAUCCUGGUGGCGAGUGGCGAACGGGUGAGUAAUAUAUCGGAACGUGCCCAGUCGUGGGGGAUAACGCAGCGAAAGCUGUGCUAAUACCGCAUACGAUCUCUGGAUGAAAGCGGGGGACUCGGCAAUGAGCCUCGCGCGAUUGGAGCGGCCGAUAUCAGAUUAGCUAGUUGGUGGGGUAAAAGCUCACCAAGGCGACGAUCUGUAGCUGGUCUGAGAGGACGACCAGCCACACUGGAACUGAGACACGGUCCAGACUCCUACGGGAGGCAGCAGUGGGGAAUUUUGGACAAUGGACGCAAGUCUGAUCCAGCCAUUCCGCGUGCAGGAUGAAGGCCCUCGGGUUGUAAACUGCUUUUGUACGGAACGAAAAGGUUUCUCUUAAUACGAGGAGCUCAUGACGGUACCGUAAGAAUAAGC
rnacentral:rRNA from 1 species